rnacentral:lncRNA from 1 species
CACAUACACAUAUAUUUACUAUCCAUAUGCAUCCAAACAUAUUUACAGAAAGCAUAUGCCCAUUAAGGGGCCUAUAAAACAUAGCAGCAACUCUUAUUAAUUUUGUCACAGAAUUCAUUUCCUUUCUUGUAAUUAGCGCAUCACAAUACUCAUCACUGUAUAUCUCCUCCAUAAAGCUUGUCACAUGUCCCCUCUGGAUCUUCCCAGCUCUUCCUAUUUAUGGCCGUGAUAAGGCAUUUUCUCCUUGGUUGUGACUGCUAGCUUAUGUAACUAACUGUCCCACUAACAUAGCCAGAAUCUGAUCCCUGGAAGGAAAGUGGCAAGAGUGUUUCCCUCGAUCAGAUUCGCAGAGUGCUUACACUAAAGAGUUUUACGUUCCUCAAAGUCAUCAGGAAAAGUGUGAAUUAGCUGGCCCUGGAGCACCUGAGACAGACAAGCUGUCUACUCUUGCCCAGCUUUCUGUAAAAACAGGAAAACUGCCUUGUGGAAAGGUGCAUGCUGGAGCCAAGAAGCUGCAGCACAUUUCAGUGUUGCCAUGACAGAGAAGAGGAUCGUGAUGAGGGGGAGUUUUGCAAGACUUGACAUGUGCCUAUUUGAGUUUCUAAGUGAAGUGUCCAUUAAGACUGUGCCCAAGAUUGGUCAAAAGAGGACAUCAGACAUAAGAAGUCUACUGGGAAGCCAGUCAGAUUGGCCUAUGACGCAGGAUUAUUUGUGCCCAUGAGGGAAACACGAAGGAUUGUCAGUAUUCAUUUGCUAUCAGAACUGCCUUUGAACUUCAGGGAAGCCGCCAUCUUGUUUUUGUUCACUCCUCUAAAGCAC